rnacentral:rRNA from 1 species
UGAGGAAUAUUGGACAAUGGAUGGAAAUCUGAUCCAGCCAUGCCGCGUGCAGGAAGACGGCCCUAUGGGUUGUAAACUGCUUUUGUAUGGGAGCAAUAAGGACUACGUGUAGUUUGAUGAGAGUACCAUACGAAUAAGCAUCGGCUAACUCCGUGCCAGCAGCCGCGGUAAUACGGAGGAUGCGAGCGUUAUCCGGAUUUAUUGGGUUUAAAGGGUGCGCAGGCGGGAUGUUAAGUCGGCGGUGAAAUUUUGCAGCUCAACUGUAAAAGUGCCUUCGAUACUGGCCUUCUUGAGUGUGGAUGAAGUAGGCGGAAUUUGUGGUGUAGCGGUGAAAUGCUUAGAUAUCACGCAGAACUCCGAUUGCGAAGGCAGCUUACUAGGCUACAACUGACACUGAAGCACGAAAGCGUGGGGAUCAAACA